UGCAAGGUAGACUAUAGAAAUAAGUCGUAGGGUUCAUAACCUUGAGAACCGGGAAGAGCUGGUUUUGCAA
rnacentral:tRNA from 1 species